GUAAUACUUAGGAAUCUACCUAGUAGUGGGGGAUAGCACGGGGAAACUCGUAUUAAUACCGCAUACGACCUACGGGAGAAAGGGGGCAGUUUACUGCUCUCGCUAUUAGAUGAGCCUAAGUCGGAUUAGCUAGAUGGUGGGGUAAAGGCCUACCAUGGCGACGAUCUGUAGCUGGUCUGAGAGGAUGAUCAGCCACACCGGGACUGAGACACGGCCCGGACUCCUACGGGAGGCAGCAGUGGGGAAUAUUGGACAAUGGGGGCAACCCUGAUCCAGCCAUGCCGCGUGUGUGAAGAAGGCCUUUUGGUUGUAAAGCACUUUAAGCAGUGAAGAAGACCAUAUGGUUAAUACCCAUAUGCGAUGACAUUAGCUGCAGAAUAAGCACCGGCUAACUCUGUGCCAGCAGCCGCGGUAAUACAGAGGGUGCAAGCGUUAAUCGGAAUUACUGGGCGUAAAGGGAGCGUAGGUGGCUCGAUAAGUCAGAUGUGAAAUCCCCGGGCUCAACCUGGGAACUGCAUCUGAUACUGUUGAGCUAGAGUAUGUGAGAGGAAGGUAGAAUUCCAGGUGUAGCGGUGAAAUGCGUAGAGAUCUGGAGGAAUACCGAUGGCGAAGGCAGCCUUCUGGCAUAAUACUGACACUGAGGCUCGAAAGCGUGGGUAGCAAACAGGAUUAGAUACCCUGGUAGUCCACGCCGUAAACGAUGUCUACUAGUCGUUGGGUCCCUUGAG
rnacentral:rRNA from 1 species